rnacentral:misc_RNA from 1 species
UAUGUCUCCAAUAAUACCCUUUACUUCCAUCUUCAUGCACAAGGGAGGCCUGUCAUGAAUUGGCCAACACGUGUUAAAAUUGCUGUUGGCGCAGCUCGUGGAAUAGCUUAUCUGCAUGAAGAUUGUUAUCCUCGUAUUAUUCACAGGGACAUUAAGUCAUCAAACAUUCUUUUAGAUGACAACUUUGAGGCCCAUGUUGCUGAUUUUGGACUAGCUAAAUUAGCUCAGGAUGCAGAAAGUCAUAUCACAACACGUGUCGUGGG